CAAGGUAGGCAGCUUGUUUCCAGCUCCAGUUCCUCCUGGGUUACCAGGCUGGCCCACAAGGAAUAUUUCACUGAGAACACUUUAACUAUUGGUGAGAUUGCCACGCCAAUCUGGGCAGGAUUUAGCCUUUAGACAGCACUGUAUAGACAAUGAAAAAUCUUCCUUUGUCAGCAGAGAGGGCAGCUGCCACUAUUUAUAGUCACAAAGUGCCAGCAUGUUGUCGUGUAUUUGUGGCUGCUAUCGAUUCCUCCUUUUUUAUUUUAUUGGAACAGCUUGGAACUUGUCGAGCUGUGCCUAGGUUGAUUUGCAGCUAAUUAAUUCAACGGACAUUUUUAAUCUUGCAAAUUUGUGACUUGUAAUACAGUAAUCAAGGUCCCGUGAGCAAACAUUAAUCAGCUUGGGAGAAAAAAAGGAAGCCAUUGUUAGCUAUGUUCAGCAAGGUGCCCACACUGGAAAGAGAUCUAGAAGAAAUGCAAUAUUAGUAAAUUCAUCCUAGCUAAGCUAAGCUUUCAUCGUUCAUCUUAUGAAACAUUUGCCCAUUUCAUUUGUUUUGUACGUGCAAGGAGUUGUAUUUAAAAGAGGAUUACUGGGAUUGAGACAGGUCUAGUUACCAUCAACGGGGAACUGGCCAUCUAUUCAUCUUAUCAACCAAAAAGUCAUUCUACCCAACAGCAGUACAAUUUUAUUUUUGAGAUUAAUUUGCUGGUUGUGGAACAGUUUAUCUGUAACAAAACACAUAACCACAUUUAGUAACAGCACUAAGUACUGGGUGAAUGAGUGAAGAAAAUAUUGUAUUCAUUACUUUUAACACACAGCUGGAUUUUAGCUGCUUUGACAUGAAGCAGAAGGGAAAAAAAAUAUAACGUUGCCUAUACCAAACAUGAUCUCUCAAUAAUGAAAGGCUUGUGACCAGCAAAGCAUUUAAACCCUUUCAUCAUCAGAAAGGAUGUAUGUUAGUACACUUGCGAUUUAUAAAAACAACUAGGAAUAAGUGGAUGGUUUUAUAUUUAACCUAACUCUAGUACUUGGAGGAACCCAGCAACAUGGGACUCAGCAAGAGCUCUGGCUUGGGCCCCUCCUGGUACAGAGUUUUCAAGCAGGUGCUGUCACAGCCCCCUCCAGUCAGGCUGCACAGGGUACAUGUGUGUGUACAACAGUGAGUAAUCCGUACAUAUGUUUCAUUCUGGGAGCAUCUCAACUGUUGACCUUCGCAGGGAGGCCAAAGACACAAAAGCAAAAGGGUGAUUCCUCAGUCACUAUUAAGAGAUGUUUGUGAAACACUGUGGAAGCUGCCCCUGCUGUUUCAGUGGAUAAAGGGAGGAGCAAGAGUGUUUCAGCUGGGGGGGGAAGGGGAACAAAACAACCAAAAAACCAAAACUCAAACUAACAAACCUUGAUGCCAAAAUACUACUUAUAGUGCAAUUACUUUCUCCUCUGGGAAAGAUAUUGUCUGGGAAAAUUCUACAAACUAACUGGGACACACAGGGAGACAAUGAAAGAAAUUGUUGCUAUUGGCAGGAGAUGUUUACUAGCAAUAAGAUACAAAGGUGUCUCAAACUAAGGCCUGGGAGACAAGGAUUUUGUAUGGCAGUGAUUGUUAAAUUUAGAAAUCAUAGCUCUUUAUAACAGAGAAUUUUAUUAUCUAUUUUACGGAGGAUUAAUCUCAGAUGGCUUCCACAAAAAACAUAAGGUUUAAAAUAGGCUCAGAAGAUGGGCUUUUCUGUAUAUGAAGUAUUAUAGGCUUGAUGUUGUUCAAGUGCUUGUGCAUUUUCUCAUGGUCUCAGUUCCUCAUGUAAUACAUCCAUAAGCAAAUAGUGGAUUUGCAGGUGCAUAUUCCUUUAGUGCUAACUGUCCUCACAUCAACUUCUUCAUGCACCGCUGAGGAGCAUAUACAUGGCAAGAUGUAAAGGCUUCUGGUAGAAGCCUUAUAUUUAGGGAACAGCUGUGAAUCUAUAGAGUAGGUGAGCCCUCAUAGCAUUUGUUCAUGCUCAGAUAUUCUGUCACUCAGCUCAUCAUGGAAAUUACUGCUGAAGGACUUUCAACUGUAUUAGAUGUUAUCACCAACUCUUGCUUGUUUAGAAGCAGGAACAGUAGAUUUCUGAUUUUAGUAGAUUUCCUGAUUUCAGUAGAAAACCCGAUGGAGUUAUCCAUAGCCUCAUGCAUGGUCUGUAAGUGUAGCAUAUCAUGAAAGGUCUUUUUUCUUCAAAGAUUCACUCAAAAGAGUUGGCAAAGUUUGUUAGAUACUGUUAUGAUGCUUUUCCUUGUGUUUCCUUCCAUUUUCCUCUUGUGCUUGAGUCUCAUGGGCAAAAUGCACCAAUGAGAGAAGACUGCUCAGGUUAUCUAAAAAACUUUCUUUUCUCGUACCAUAGUACAAAACUCAAAAAUUCUUUUGUAUAACACCUGGCUAUGGGAUAACCUAUAUGGUUAGAGAGGGAAAACCAAGUUAAAACUGCAAAUACUGAAGCAAUUUUUUCAAGUGGACAGCAUGAAUUUUUUUAAAGACAGCUGUCAUAUUUUGAUGCUCAACUGAUCUUACUUCAUCAUUCCAAAACCUUGUUAUAUGCCCAUAGCAACCUAGAAUUCAAUAUCUUUUGUUUCUGAGAUAAUUUCUGGCCCACAGAACAGCCACUAAUGGGGAUCAUGUUGGAUUAGCAUGCAAAGAUCUGCCAUCCCACUGCAGUUCUCCUUUAACAGGACUGCUGUUCCUUUAAAUCAAUUCCCAUUGAUUCUCAAGGGCAGAAACUGUCCCCUGUGUAAUUUGUUCUGCUUGAGGGGACAGAUAUUUUGCUCUCUAUUCUCUGAGUUGUGCAUUAUUAACAAGCUAAUGUUUAUUCUAACAAAUGAACAUCGCCGUAUUUUCCUGCAGGUGCCAUUCCAUGUAUAAGUUUGUCUCACGAGUGGCAGCUGGCUCUGCUUGUCUUCCCAUGCUUGCUCACCUGCCUCUUUAAUCAAAUGUUAACUUAACAAUUGUUAUUCCUCAUGCUGCAGAGCCAUGCAAAAACCAGUUUGACUUCUGGAUUUGACCCGUGGCAUUAGCAAACGGGAGAUUCAUCUUCUCACUGUAAGCUGAGUGCAUUGGAAAUGGUACCCUCUGGGAUGCAAUAAACACGGUUCUUUACCAUAUUGAUUUUAUAGUAAUUUUCCAGAGUGCAGUUGUGCUUUGAGACUUUCUGCAGCUCUCUGUAAUCUUCUUGUAUUAAAAAAAAAAAAAAAGGAAAAGAAAAAAUAAAAUAAAACCAACUUUUAAUUGUUCUUCCUCAAUAUACAUUGUUCUCUUGAAACUUGCAAUGUGCAAGGAGCAUGUCAGUUAAUUCAAUUUGGACAUUUUAAAUGGAUUCCUACAGACAAUAUUAAUUAACUCAGUAGAAAUUAAAAAAGCAUAUUCUCCAGUCAUUACAGUAAAAUGCAUACUCAGAUAAGGCUAACUAAUUUGUGUGUUCUUUCACCCUCCAUCUCUCAAUAUACAGAACUCAAAGUUUGUUUCAAGCUGACCUGGUGGAUUUGAUUUUGUUUGGGGAAAUGUGUGCAAAAGUGUUUCUAGGCUAUUAAUAAAACAGGUGAGCCAUUCAAAGCAAUUUCACAUGGGGCAAAUGAUCCUAAAAGACAGACUUGAUUACAUCUGUGCUUACAAAACCUUCUUCAACAAUCUACAGCUAAGCAAACAAACAAACCAAAAGACAGUCUUAAGGGACUGAUGGAGAAAUUCUGCCUGGUGCACGGGUCAAUAAGUCAUACUUACACCAGCACUCUGGACAGGAGCGUUUAUUAUACUGGAAUUUGCUUUGAUUAUGGGCAGUUUAUCAUCAUAAAGGGCUUCCCUGAAGGUCCACCAUAGCAAAUGGAUUACUUUCUUUUAACUUUUAUGGGGUCCAGUAAACCACAGGAGAAAGCACAUGGGCAUUUCACUUUUAAAUUUCACAACGCUGCUCUAAGUAAAAUUUAUUUUUUGAGGAAUCUCUUUAGUAAGUACUUUACAGUGCACUUGAACUUUACUGUCAAGUGAAACUGUCAGCCAUUAUGCACCCAAUACAGAUAAGGAUAAGUAAUUCAAAAUACUUGAGGAAGCAAUAUCAGGCUUUGUAUUAAAAAAAUAUUCCACUGGAAAUAAUACUAAAGCAUUUCUAGGUCUUCCAAUCUCUGGAUGAGGCUAAGAUACCUGGCUGGAUUCCAGGAUAAAUUAAAAUGUCUUUUUAAACUUUCAGACAGCUUAUGAAUAUAUUAAUUGUAUUUUAAUAUUUUCUAUGAAAUAAAAACUAUCCUUUGAGCUAUACAUUUCAAUUUCAAAUGAAUAUACAUCUUUCUAUAAAGCCUAAUGGGCAAGUUGGAGAGGUGAAAUUUUAUCCUAAGCUCAGGCAAAAAUCCUCCUGUUUUCCCCUACAGACUGCCAACCUGGCCCUCUAUGAUACUUGCCUGUUGCGCUUCACCAUUGAAACCCCUGAAAAUGGAUCUAGCAUCUGGAUCCUGGCAAAUCUUUUCUCAUUCUUUAGUUGCACAGGAAGAGGACAGAGGCAGCUCAAUGCCACAAGGGAUCAGGCAGGUGCAGGUAGAUCCUCUUCUCUUCCAGUUUCUCCAAUGGCUACCACUGACACAACUGAAUUAAUGAUUAGAAGGGGGACUGUUCCUUGUUGGGGCAGAUGUUGACUGCAUGUAAUGAGACUUGGAGAUAUUAUUUGUAUUUGGAAAGGAAAGGUGGCAAAUAAGUUUAUGACACAGUGAAGAGGAUGACUACAUAUGUCAGAUAUGCACAAUGGCAACACACUGAAAUAUUGAGCUGGAUGCCCAGGUUGUAGAGGUUAGUGCUAAGAAAACAGGUUGAUUAGCUGGUGCAAUAAAGUCCUCAAAGAAGCAGUUUUUAGGGUUUUAUCCUCUGCAAACUAAUAUGCAUUAGGGAAAAUAAAGGAUUGCCUUCACUGUUGUUUCACAUGCAGAAAAAAAGAUUUUUGCAUCCAUUUCAAAAGUGUGCCUUUUAGCAUCUUCGUGUUUCAUGAAAUCAGGCCUGAAAAAUAUUUCUACCCCCUUCAAAAUCAGAGCAGCUUUUUCUGCUUAGGUUUACAUAAAGCUAUAAAGUCUUGACUUCUCUGAGAAACUGAGAUUCUCUCAGCCUCACUCCUUGUCACACUAAAAAAAUCAGAGCAAUUGAGCUGAAACUCUUAACAAACAUUUUGGGGAAAGCUGCAAUAUCAUGCCACAUCAAGGAAUCUUACAGUCCAGUCUUCUAGUUUUCCAUUUAUUUCUAUCAGGAAAAAUUAAAAGGCUGUGAUGUGCAGGACAUGCAAAUGUAAUUGGCUGUUAGCAGCUCUGCUGCCAUAGCAUGUAGGUUCAGCAGUCUGUGAACAUCAGUGACUCCUCAUUUUGGGCUGCCAUAGAUGAAGUUGGUCAAAACCACACAGCACUUUUAAAAGUCAUUAUUAAAAUACAAGGGCAUUAGAAAGAUAAUAUUAAAAGGAAAAGAAAAGAAAAAGAAAAAAGAAAGGCUUCAGGAUUUCCUUGUUAAAAAUAGAAAAUAAAAAUGAAAAAUGGCAUAUGUACACAAUUCAGAAGUACAAACCCUACUCUUUUACAGGCCAACUAAAAAAAGCAAGGAAAACCACCAACAAAUACCCAAAAUAUUUCAGUUUGUGAUGCUCCCUGCUGUGAUGCUUUUCAAGCCAGAUUACUAGUGCAGAAUUCAUGAUACCAAAUUGCAUUUACCCAUUUUGUGAUCAUUAGCAGAGGGAUCUAACAGUAGGACUCAGAAGAGCCAACAUAUUGCAUAUUUAGUAAUGGGAUGUUAUUAGGUUGUUGCUACUGAAGACAGGAACACAUCUCCAAAUUCAUCUGUCUCCUACAAGUAGGCUUUUUUUUUGUGAAAUUCAUUCCCAGAGUUUGAAGACUUUUCAUGCACCCGCACACUCCAGUUGGGGCAUUUUGCUAGAGAAAGCUGCCUGCUUCUCUUCCUAGGCAGGAAUAGAAGGGAAAGAUGGGUCUGUCUCUGUGCCAGGGGCUGUUAGCUUGAGCCCUGUGACCAUGAUGCCAGCCCAAAUCCCUAUUCAUCCUGAGUGGACUCAAGGUAACACUUUCUUGGAGACUGUCCUGUCUGCAGGAGGGGGAACUCUGUCCCUCUUUCCAGAUGAGAAAAGGUCCCUGUGAGAGCUGAAAUGCAAUGGUGCUGGGCACAGGCAGGAAGGCCUAAGAAGAGCUGUAACUCUGUGAUCCAAGGUGGAGGCUGGUCCUCUCUUUGGGGACUGCUGAGUGUGUGGGGCUGCUGGGUGUGUACACACCAGCUCUGCAGGAACAUCAUGUGGGGGAUCCCCACCACAUGGGCACAUCCCACAUUGAUCCAGACAUGUGGGUACAUCCCAGGCAGGCUCCUAGGAUAUUUAUUCAGUCAGUCCCAGGAGGUGUAGGCACAGGAUCCCUGGCCCUGUGACUCUCAGGUGACCUCAGUAGAGGAUGGGUGCAUAGAAGUUCGCCCAGGCUGAGAUGGUGGUGCUUCUGGGCACAGAUGGUGGCACAUCUUCAGGCACUCACAGUAUAUUUCUGCCUUCCAGAAGCUUCAGUUCCAGUGGUCAACCAGACCUCAUGUGAUGCCUGAUAAAAAGUAAAUGACUUCCUAAUACUAUAUAAAGCCUGUAAAAAAUUGCACAUGCAAAUACACUCAAAUACUUGAAAUUCAAAUUUCAAUAGUAUAUUCUGUUUAUUCCAAUGUUAUUAUUACUUUCCUUUUCAAAAAUCAUAAAGUUUCCUGCUUUUAGUUGUUGCAUGAUAUCAAAUUAAUUCUAAAUGAGUGGGCUUUUACUGUAAUUGUCCUGGGUUUAGUUUUUCAGUUAUUUUUCAUAAAUGCAUUUUACAUCUAACUACCUCAGCUGCUUUUUAUUUUCUUUUGGCACAUAUGAAAUCAUGCACUUUCUAUAUUUGGGGAUUUGGGGGGAGGAAUUCUUUCAAUUUUGAAUAACCAGGUUCAAAGCCAUGUUGAUCAAUUUAUAGAGAAGAUCGGUUUAAGAAGACAAUUAUUGAAACAGUUGCAGAACAUACAUUUUAUUUUUAGGUUCUGUUGGGGUACAGUUUAACAAAAAACACCAUAAGCUGCUUAUUAAUUUGCCUUAAAAAUGUGUGCUCUUUCCUAGUCAAGUUGUGUUAUUUAACUCUUCUCUUGUACACAAUUUAUGUGACAAAGACUAAGGUAACAGUUGGCAGAUAAAGAGUAAAUUGAACAGAAUGGACCAAUAGUUUCUCAGUUCUCUGUUGUAAACUGUUGCAUUAUACACUGAUUGUGCUAAAAUAAUUGUUACUGUGCUUAUACUCCUUAGCCACCAUUGCAGAAAUAAAGUGAUGGAAGAUCACAUUCGUAUUUAUGGAACAGUGUAGAUAUCCCCCCAGUACAAGCACAGUGACUAAAGGUGAAUGAUAAUCAUUGCAGAACUUGUGCUUUGACUUGUAAACAUUGUAAAAAUGUAUUUGGUAUUUUAUUUGAAAUGAAGAAUCAAAAGAGUUAUUAAAAACAGAAAGAAAAAUCUUCCUGUAAAUAUAUAUAUUCUGAAUCCAUGUAUACAAACAUUCCUUUAGAGUUCAGAUUGUGAAGAGUGUCUUUAUUGGCUAGAGACCACUGCCCUCUGUGGCAGAGGUUACAUGUGCUAUAGUAAAGAACACAGUGUGUGAAGUAUUUGAUGUACUGCAGUACCAUAGUUCUUUUGGUCUGUCAAGUAAGUUGCAAUUUGUGAUGAAAUGAAGUUGAAAGUAGUGCUUCAUACUAACAAAUUUCCUCGGUUACAACUUGAUUUUUCUUGUAAAACUUAAAAGAGAAACUUGAAAAUUUUAUAUAUUUGGAUUUUGUAGAUUUUUUUUAUUUUAUUGCAACACAAGGUACCAAAAUCAUUAAAUAAAGUACACUGUGGUCAUUUUA